rnacentral:rRNA from 1 species
UGGCUGGGGGUGAAAGGCCAAUCAAACCGGGAGAUAGCUGGUUCUCCCCGAAAGCUAUUUAGGUAGCGCCUCGUGAAUUCAUCUCCGGGGGUAGAGCACUGUUUCGGCAAGGGGGUCAUCCCGACUUACCAACCCGAUGCAAACUGCGAAUACCGGAGAAUGUUAUCACGGGAGACACACGGCGGGUGCUAACGUCCGUCGUGAAGAGGGAAACAACCCAGACCGCCAGCUAAGGUCCCAAAGUCAUGGUUAAGUGGGAAACGAUGUGGGAAGGCCCAGACAGCCAGGAUGUUGGCUUAGAAGCAGCCAUCAUUUAAAGAAAGCGUAAUAGCUCACUGGUCGAGUCGGCCUGCGCGGAAGAUGUAACGGGGCUAAACCAUGCACCGAAGCUGCGGCAGCGACGCUUAUGCGUUGUUGGGUAGGGGAGCGUUCUGUAAGCCUGUGAAGGUGUGCUGUGAGGCAUGCUGGAGGUAUCAGAAGUGCGAAUGCUGACAUAAGUAACGAUAAAGCGGGUGAAAAGCCCGCUCGCCGGAAGACCAAGGGUUCCUGUCCAACGUUAAUCGGGGCAGGGUGAGUCGACCCCUAAGGCGAGGCCGAAAGGCGUAGUCGAUGGGAAACAGGUUAAUAUUCCUGUACUUGGUGUUACUGCGAAGGGGGGACGGAGAAGGCUAUGUUGGCCGGGCGACGGUUGUCCCGGUUUAAGCGUGUAGGCUGGUUUUCCAGGCAAAUCCGGAAAAUCAAGGCUGAGGCGUGAUGACGAGGCACUACGGUGCUGAAGCAACAAAUGCCCUGCUUCCAGGAAAAGCCUCUAAGCAUCAGGUAACAUCAAAUCGUACCCCAAACCGACACAGGUGGUCAGGUAGAGAAUACCAAGGCGCUUGAGAGAACUCGGGUGAAGGAACUAGGCAAAAUGGUGCCGUAACUUCGGGAGAAGGCACGCUGAUAUGUAGGUGAAGCGACUUGCUCGUGGAGCUGAAAUCAGUCGAAGAUACCAGCUGGCUGCAACUGUUUAUUAAAAACACAGCACUGUGCAAACACGAAAGUGGACGUAUACGGUGUGACGCCUGCCCGGUGCCGGAAGGUUAAUUGAUGGGGUCAGCGCAAGCGAAGCUCUUGAUCGAAGCCCCGGUAAACGGCGGCCGUAACUAUAACGGUCCUAAGGUAGCGAAAUUCCUUGUCGGGUAAGUUCCGACCUGCACGAAUGGCGUAAUGAUGGCCAGGCUGUCUCCACCCGAGACUCAGUGAAAUUGAACUCGCUGUGAAGAUGCAGUGUACCCGCGGCAAGACGGAAAGACCCCGUGAACCUUUACUAUAGCUUGACACUGAACAUUGAGCCUUGAUGUGUAGGAUAGGUGGGAGGCUU